rnacentral:rRNA from 1 species
AUUGAACGCUGGCGGCAGGCCUAACACAUGCAAGUCGAGCGGAUGAUGGGAGCUUGCUCCUGGAUUCAGCGGCGGACGGGUGAGUAAUGCCUAGGAAUCUGCCUGGUAGUGGGGGACAACGUUUCGAAAGGAACGCUAAUACCGCAUACGCCCUACGGGAGAAAGCAGGGGACCUUCGGGCCUUGCGCUAUCAGAUGAGCCUAGGUCGGAUUAGCUUGUUGGUGAGGUAAUGGCUCACCAAGGCGACGAUCCGGAACUGGUCUGGUAGGCUGAUCAGUCACACUGGAACUGAGACACGGCCCAGACUCCUACGGGAGGCAGCAGUGGGAAUAUUGGACAAUGGGCGAAAGCCUGAUCCAGCCAUGCCGCGUGUGUGAAGAAGGUCUUCGGAUUGUAAAGCACUUUAAGUUGGGAGGAAGGGUUGUAGAUUAAUACUCUGCAAUUUUGACGUUACCGACAGAAUAAGCACCGGCUAACUCUGUGCCAGCAGCCGCAGUAAUAC